rnacentral:rRNA from 1 species
CCUACGGUGCGCAGCAGUGAGGAAUAUUGGUCAAUGGGCGCGAGCCUGAACCAGCCAAGUCGCGUGAGGGAUGAAGGUUCUAUGGAUCGUAAACCUCUUUUAUAAGGGCAUAAAGUGUGGGACGUGUCCUAUUUUGUAUGUACCGUACGAAUAAGCAUCGGCUAACUCCGUGCCAGCAGCCGCGGUAAUACGGGGGAUGCAAGCGUUAUCCGGAUUUAUUGGGUUUAAAGGGUGCGUAGGCUGUGAGGUAAGUCAGCGGUGAAAUGCCCCCGCUCAACGGGGUGAAGUGCCAUUGAUACUGCCUUGCUGGAAUGCGGAUGCCGUGGGAGGAAUGUGUGGUGUAGCGGUGAAAUGCAGAGAUAUCACACAGAACACCGAUUGCGAAGGCAUCUCACGAAUCCGCGAUUGACGCUGAUGCACGAAAGCGUGGGUAUCAAACAGGAUUAGAGACCCCUGUAGUC